CCUACGGGAGGCAGCAGUAGGGAAUCUUCCACAAUGGGCGAAAGCCUGAUGGAGCAACGCCGCGUGGGUGAAGAAGUACUUUGGAUCGUAAAACCCUGUUGUUAGAGAAGAAAGUGCGUGAGAGUAACUGUUAACGUUUCGACGGUAUCUAACCAGAAAGCCACGGCUAACUACGUGCCAGCAGCCGCGGUAAUACGUAGGUGGCAAGCGUUAUCCGGAUUUAUUGGGCGUAAAGGGAACGCAGGCGGUCUUUUAAGUCUGAUGUGAAAGCCUUCGGCUUAACCGGAGUAGUGCAUUGGAAACUGGGAGACUUGAGUGCAGAAGAGGAGAGUGGAACUCCAUGUGUAGCGGUGAAAUGCGUAGAUAUAUGGAAGAACACCAGUGGCGAAAGCGGCUCUCUGGUCUGUAACUGACGCUGAGGUCCGAAAGCGUGGGUAGCAAACAGGAUUAGAUACCCCUGUAGUC
rnacentral:rRNA from 1 species